rnacentral:lncRNA from 1 species
CCUUUGUCUCAGGGAUCUGCUUUUCCUGCUCUCCCAUGCCAUUACCAGCUGCCUCCUAACGCUCCCUAUGGUGGAAAGAGAAAUGGCUACCUCUGGGGGGUCGACGGGCUCACAUCUGGAGUAGGUUCCCUCCAGCCAAAAUAUUUAAAUCCUGAAUAAAGGCUUUCUUUUGGCCUGGAAGAAGGAAGAGAAUUUCUCUGAGGAUUUUCAGAGGGCCCCUGAGACUUCUCAAAGAGAUUUGCUCUCUCUUCCUAUAAGGAGGAAGACACUAAGCUGCCCUUUUUCCUGAAGCCUUGCAAGCUGAAACUCGAGGACUUGAUAUAAACUUCAGAGAUAUUCAUAGCUGUUGCUAUGCCUAACUAUGGGAGCCCACCUGCAUCACCGUCUUACUAAGAGACUGGUUCCAUGAGAUGGAACAACCUAUGACCCUCAUCAACAGGGUGUCCCUCAAGAUUGAGGGAUGAAAAACAAAAAGGAGGAAUUGAAACCAGCUCAACACAAGGUUGACAUAAGGGAAGCCAUAUUGUAGAAAAGAAACCAUGUUGUAACUUUGAAUGACCUCUGACUAACUAACCCAGCUGGAUUUGCACCCUCCAGGAGAUCCACCUGUUCUGUAUAUUUUUUUAAAGAUUUUAUUUUUCCUUUUUCUCCCCAAAGCUCCCUGGUACAUAGUUGUGGAUCCUUCCAGUUGUGGCAUGUGGGAUGCCACCUCAGCAUGGCCCAAUGAACAGUGCCAUGCCUGCACCCAGGACCUGAACUGGCAAAACCCUGGGCUGCCAAAGCAGAGUGCACAAACCCAACCACUUGGCCAUGGGGCCAGUGCCUGUUCUGUAGAUUUUGUGACCGCUGCCUGUGCAUAUACCUUCCAGCUGUGAUAAGACAAUAACUUCAUUCUUUUGAGUUCCUUAGGAAUGUGAUGAUCCCCAAAGAGAGAGUUUCUGCUGAUAGCCAUCAUCAAUGAAAACUGAAAGACCUGGUGUGGCCACUCCCAGUCUGUAACACCAGAGGGUCAACAUUCCUAAGCCCCUACCCUAUAACCCAUUGGCCCAUAUAACUGCUUCAGGAUUCUGUGCCCUGCUUAAGAUGGUUUUUUUGGACAUUAGUCAGCCAUCUUCCCUCUUGCUAGCAAACUGUAAUAAAAUACUCUUUCUCUGCCACCAGCUUGCCUCUUGACCUUUGGCUUUUGUCUCACAGCGAGCAGAUUGUGCCCUUUGUGCAGUGACAUUAGGUGCUCAGUGCCCUGACAUCACUGAGGUUUGUCUCAUGUCUAUGAGACAUGACUAUGUCUCUGUCUAUGGGGCCUCUCCCGGGCAGCAAGUCAAGCGCUGGCUCCUUCCAUUUCUAGAUGCUGCCAUCUUGAAACAGGGCCUUCACAGUGAACAUGGAAGGGAAAGAGAGAGGGUGGAAGGUUGAAUGGGGGCUUGUGCUCAGGCGUGGGGGGGCAGGCAUGACUCCUGUGCAUAUCCCAUGGUCCAGAACCAGUCCUGUGGUCCCAAUUCAUGGCCAGAGAGCCAGGGAAAUGUCAUCUUCCCAUGUGCCCAGGAGGAGAAGAUGGGAUGAGGGGGCAUGUGGUCUGAUUCUGCCACACUCGCCCUCUGAAAACCACAGUUUCCUUGUCUGUAAAAUGGGAUUUGCAUGGGACUUGGAUUACUGAGUCCCAGCUCUGAGUUAGGGGAGCUGCUUCAUGAAAAUCUGGU